rnacentral:rRNA from 1 species
UACGGGGGGGGCAAGCGUUGUUCGGAAUUACUGGGCGUAAAGGGCGUGUAGGCGGCCAACUACGUCCGACGUGAAAUCCCCAGGCUUAACCUGGGAACUGCGUCGGAUACUGGAUGGCUUGAAUCCGGGAGAGGGAUGCAGAAUUCCAGGUGUAGCGGUGAAAUGCGUAGAUAUCUGGAGGAAUACCGGUGGCGAAGGCGGCAUCCUGGACCGGCAUUGACGCUGAAGCGCGAAAGCUAGGGGAGCAAACGGG